GAAUCAUAGCGGCAAAAGCGUCUUCCUAUUGACCCUCGCCGUGGCGACCACGCACGCCCGUCUCCGAGGGGCUCCGCCAGCACCAGAACUACAUUUCCCGAGGUGCGCCGAGCGCGGCCCGCGGCCUACUGGUCUUGGCAAACAUGGCCAGUCGGCGAGCCAGACUCUGGACUACCUUUCCCAGAAGGCACGCUGGGCGCCGGCGGGCCGCAGGAGGGGAGGAGAGGCCGCGGCGACAGCUACGUGGAGCCCGGCGGCGACUGGGAUCCCAGGUCUGGGAGCGCGCCCGCGAGGACCUCCGGGGCCGGCUCUGCUCCGGUCAGGCCUGGGGACGCGCUUCUCCCCGCCCGCACCCGGCGGCGCUGGCCGGGGUCUGGGGACCCGGCUCGGUUGUUCAGUGUGAGCCCAGAGCACGGCCUCUGGCCUCGGCACAGAAGAGGAGCGUGCCCCCUGCCACACGUCGUCGACUGCCCGCAGCGGACGGCGCCUCGCCUCAGAACCUGCCGAGAAGAUGUGGCUGCAGAGGGGAUUGGAGCUUCAUCCCGGCGGUGCAGGCCUGAGGGCGCCAGGCCGGCCACCUCCGGGCGGCGCGCCGCGGGCUCGUUAACUAGACCUUGGGCGGCCCGGCCUCGGGCCGUUGGCCGCUGAAUGGACUUCCUGCCCGGGCCUGGGUGGAAGCCGCCGGCCCAUCGCGGCCAGGCCUUCCCUGGCCCACCUCUCUGCGCCCCCGACUCUUGUUGAGUUGUUAUGGAAAACUGGAAAACCUGGACUGGAUCACCGACAGAAGAACCAAGCGGCACUUGGAGGUCUUGGAAGGAGGAGGUUUAUUUUUCACCAGUGGGCUCAGAGGAGAGUGAUCGCCAAAGGUCUGAGCCCCAAGUACAGCAGGGUCAUGCCUUUUAUACAUUUACUACAAAGCUAAGUGGGGAGUCAGCACCCAGAAACUGUUGCAGUAGGGGCUAUUAGGUCACUAUAGGUGUAUUGAGAAUGCUAGUUAUAUUUUAAUCCAUUUCUGUAAAGGUUACCCAGAUACCCUAUUAUAAACUAAUGGGCUUCCAUGACUAUGAUUAACAAGCUGUUCCACACCACUGAGUCCCUGUUGGGGGGGGAAUACAUUGUUACAUUGUUUAAGCUCAAGCGCCCAAGCACCUUGCGAUUCCUUUAUAUUCUGGAAGCCUUAACAGAAACUUUUUCUCCUUGGCUUCCUUGGCUUCCUACCAAACCCAGAGAGGGGGAGGGAUUUGAGAUCUUUCUGAAUAUUUCCUCAUCAUUCCUCCCUCUGAUGCCCCUUUAAAAAAUUCGUUUUAGAGGGCAUCAUCUUGGUUUAUGAUAGAAUUCUUCUGCUGACAGUGUAAAAUUGUACAACUCAGGGUGUUCCUGUCUUAAUGCCGUUUGGGCAGUGAGGCCUAGUCCAAGCAGGUAUGGAGGCAACUUUAUAGACGGGGAAGUUAGCCAGGCUGAGGCCCGAGACUGAAGUUAAGAGAGGCAAGCAAGCACAGCAGCACAACCUACGAUCACCCAAUAAACAGUGGAAAAGGCAACUCUGGGGGACAGUCCAAUCAGAAGGGGCAGUGGCGGAGAAUCUAAUCCCCCGGACGAGAAAUUUCACACCGAUGAGGGUCAGGAUACACUGUGUGCAGGUGUUUAUUAGGGGGCUCUCGGCGGAGGUGGAGGCAGAGGGGUUCUUGUGGUUUAGCUGGGCUCUUCACUGAUGUAUUUUUUCAUCAGAAUGAUGGGCCUUUUUUACUCUGGAAUGAUGGACCUAUGGAGAGAUGCCUGAGACCUUGAGGGCAGUAGGAGCGGUUAGAACAAUAAUGUGGGGCCCAGUCCACUGAGGCUGGAGGGGGUCUUUUCUCUAAUUUUUGAACUAAACUGAGUCCCCUACCUGGAAGGAAUGUACUGGGGUCUCCAAGGAGAUCAGGGCUCUUUCUAUGGUGUAUUGUUGUAACUUAUUCAGGGUGGCCCCUAAGGCUUGGAGCUGUUUCCUUACUCCUUUAUCUCCUAUUUGGUGUAGGUUUCCUGGAAGGCUUUCUAGACAUGAGGUGGGGUGGGGAGGGGACAUCCAUACACUAGUUUAAAAGAGGAAAAAGCCUUGUGCUCUGGGUGUGCAAUGGGCACGCAGGAGGGCCAGGGGCAGUAGGUCCGGCCAUGGGAGGCCAGUUUCCUGACAGAACUUGGCAGGGGUUUCCUUGAGGAUGCGAUUCAUUCACUCCACUUUCCCUGAACUCUGGGGCCUGUACGUGGUGUGGAGUUUCCAGGUGAUGUUGAGAGAUUUGGUUAAAAUUUGUACUGCUUCUGCUACAAAUACAGGCCCAUUAUCACUGUGAAUUGUAGAUGGUAGGCCAAACCAGGGCACAGUCUCCAUCAGGAAAACUGGCUACCUCCUGGCUUCGUUCUGUCCUGGUUGGGAAGGAUUCAACCCACCCAGAGUGUGUGCACAUUAUUACUAGGAGCUAUCUGAGUCCUCUGCUUGGCUGGACAUUCUGUGAAGUCUAUUUCUUUUGUGAGCCAGACAGCCUCGAGGAGUUUUAGCAUUGUUUUUCCUGUUUUUGAUUGUUUUUGAUUGUUUUUCCUGCUGCAGUGAGGAGAUUUCUUUCCUUGUAGAUUGCCCCAUGUGUGCGUCCUGGGUGUCACUGGCACGGAGGGGGUCAUCUACGUACUGGAGGAGGGUGCAGCGUGUGGCUUUCCUUGGAAAGCUGGCAGUGUCUGCGGCCAGUGCCUCUGCAAAGAGAAUGGGUAAGCUUUUGAACUCUUGUGGAAGCCACGUCCAUGUUAGCUGCAUUGGCCGCCCUGUAUCUGGUUCAGUCCAUUUGAAGGCAAAGGGGGCUCUGGGGGGCCAGUCAGAGCAGAAAAAGUCAUCCUUUAAGUCUAGGCAAGUGAACCAUUUGGCAGACCCUGGGAUCUGGCUAAGGAAGGUGUACAGGUUUGGGACCACCGGGUGCAGAAAAACAGUCACCUUGUUGAUGGCUUGCAGGUCUUGGACAGGUCAGCACCCUCCUCCUGGCCUCCUGACUGGUAGGAGCGGGGUGUUCCGGGGCGACUGAUGAUCAGUUAGAAUGCCUGCCUCUCUGGUCAGGCGUUCCUGGUGCCUGCUCUCGCCUCAUGUAAGAGGGGCACUGCCGCUGUCUCUGUAUCUGGGUCCCCGGAGUCAAUUCUGCAAUGACAGGGGCUCGGUUAUGAGCAAGUGCAGGUGGGUUGUCUUCAGCCCAUACCGAGGGGAAGGCAGCUCUGACUUCAGGUGGGCUGCUUGAGGGGCCUGGGCACAGAGCAGCCUCUGCCCCUCUUCCCUGGGUGUGGUUAUUGCCAGCACGAGGGGCCCUGGCUUUUCUUGCCCUGGCUCUAGUUUGAGGCUGGCGUAGAGAAAUUCCUGUCAGACCUUGUGGCCCCCAAGUUCACAUCGGCAGGCUUGGCAGAAGUGCUCAGAACCUGGUGGUUCUGAGAAUAACUGCAGUCCUUCCGCCGCAGGGGGCUGCUGGGAGGGUGACCCCAGAGUGUUCUGCCCCUCUGUUGACCGUAAAAGCCAUGUUUCAGCCCCCCAAUUCUAUUGUGACCGUGGGCUCAAGGGGGCCGAGAGAGAGGGUGCGUGUCCUUGUCAGGCAGAGUCCGUUCCUGCUGGGCCAGUGCUGGGCCAGUGAGCCUCUCCCUGCGGGGCUCCUCCCGGUAGUGGCUGGGCUUCAGGGCUUUGCCUCGGUUGGGGCACUCGUUUUUCCAGUGCCCCUUCUCUUUACAGUAAGCAAAACUGGCCCCUGGCUGGGGGGUCCUGGGCUCCCCACCUCUGGGCGGCCAGCUCCGUCCUGUGGCUUUUCCGAGUCAAGCAUGGACCGGCAGGGCUGGAUGGUCCCAUCGCCAUCAUGCCUCUCAGGCUCCCUUGUCUUUCGUACCAGCAUCUAAAGGGCGGCUGCACCCGGUCGAGGGCAGAGUCUGGCUGCUGCCACAGGGGAGAGUGGGUCACUGGACCUGGAGGAUGGUGGCCGAGUGUCCGGGACUGGGGCUGGGUGCUGAUGGCCUUGGGGGCGCAUAAGGUGGGGGUGAUAUUGGUUCUUCCUUUGGAUCACUGGCAAAAAUUUUGUGGAGGCUCAGGCUUCUGUUGGUCUUUUAUAAGCCGCUUUGUUGAGGCAGUUAAGACCCUACUUUGUCCCUGCCUGUUGCAAACGAGUGGCACCCGAGGGGGAAGGGUCUGUGUAACUCCUAACCAGGAGUCAGUAUAUGGGAGCUGAUCAGGGGGGCCUGGAUCCCCAGUAAUGACUCACCAGACUCGGCGAACUGUUGGGAGUCUAGGGUUCUCUCAGGAGGCCACCCUGCAUCAAAGGUGGGCCAGGCAGAUUCACACAAGGUCCUUAACUUGCUGGGGUCAUAUUUACUCCAUAAUUUCCCUGAAAUCCCUUCCUGAAACUUUUGAUCCUGGUUUCAAGAACUGGGUUUGCCCCGCCCCGGCUCCCAUAACGUGUCCAUGUAACGAUGCCCCAAAGACAGACAAGGGAGGGAGGCCUCCUCCAGGAGGAGACCAAUCAGAUGCCCAUCUGUUCACGCUCCUCGCGGAGACUUUGGUCAGCCUUGACUACGGUGCACCCGUAUAAGUCCCAGGCCAGGUCACCGAAGCUGAGUCUCCGUUAUGUCGUGGAGGCCGACGGCGAAUGCGGACGAGGGCCGGCUCAGACUGUGGCGCAAGCCGGAGAAUCACAGAUUCAGUGUGAGCUGAACGUCCUCAGCUGCCCUGCCCAGUCACUCACACACCCGACUGGGGUUUAGACAUUCCAUUCCUGGGAAUCUCUACCUGUGAGUCCUCUCAGAGGUGUCCAGGAGGUGAUCAGGCUCCCCUUGCACCCCAGCGGGUGGGCCUCACUGGGUCGAGGGCCCCCAGCUCUUACCAUAAUCUGACAUCGGAACCAGGCCCUCACCUGCCAAACCUCCUCGAGUCCGGUGGGAACAGCGGAGCGGGGGGCCGGUCCGAGGCGGCUGGGCGGGACACUGCCAAAGGGUCAGGCAGGGUGCGCUUUCUUCAUUGCAGUCGCCCGCUCCGUCACCGCCCUGCCAGUUGCCCCAAACCGGUGGUAAAAACGGGCCAG